UUGCCCUAGUAACGGCGAGUGAAGCGGCAACAGCUCAAAUUUGAAAUCUGGCCUCGGCCCGAGUUGUAAUUUGUAGAGGAAGCUUUUGGCACGGCACCUGCUGAGUCCCCUGGAACGGGGCGCCGUAGAGGGUGAGAGCCCCGUAUAGCAGGACGCCUAGCCUCUGUAAAGCUCCUUCGACGAGUCGAGUAGUUUGGGAAUGCUGCUCAAAAUGGGAGGUAAAUUUCUUCUAAAGCUAAAUACCGGCCAGAGACCGAUAGCGCACAAGUAGAGUGAUCGAAAGAUGAAAAGCACUUUGAAAAGAGGGUUAAACAGCACGUGAAAUUGUUGAAAGGGAAGCGCUUGUGACCAGACUCGCGCCGGGCUGAUCAUCCGGGCUUCUGCCCGGUGCACUCUGCCCGGCUCGGGCCAGCAUCGGUUCUCGCGGGGGGACAAAGGCCCUGGGAACGUAGCUCCUCCGGGAGUGUUAUAGCCCGGGGUGCAAUGCCCUCGCGGGGACCGAGGACCGCGCUUCGGCAAGGAUGCUGGCGUAAUGGUCAUCAGCGACCCGUCUUGAAACACGGACCAAGGAGUCAAGGUUUUGCGCGAGUGUUUGGGUGUCAAACCCGCACGCGUAAUGAAAGUGAACGUAGGUGAGAGCUUCGGCGCAUCAUCGACCGAUCCUGAUGUAUUCGGAUGGAUUUGAGUAGGAGCGUUAAGCCUUGGACCCGAAAGAUGGUGAACUAUGCUUGGAUAGGGUGAAGCCAGAGGAAACUCUGGUGGAGGCUCGCAGCGGUUCUGACGUGCAAAUCGAUCGUCAAAUCUGAGCAUGGGGGCGAAAGACUAAUCGAACCAUCUAGUAGCUGGUUACCGCCGAAGUUUCCCUCAGGAUAGCAGUGUUGUUCUUCAGUUUUAUGAGGUAAAGCGAAUGAUUAGGGACUCGGGGGCGCUUUAUAGCCUUCAUCCAUUCUCAAACUUUAAAUAUGUAAGAAGCCCUUGUUACUUAGUUGAACGUGGGCAUU
rnacentral:rRNA from 2 species